UGAGGAACAUGACCUUCGGCGGGGGAUAGCCGGCCCAACGGCCGGGUAAUACCGCGUACGACCACUUUGGGACAUCCCUAGGUGGUGAAAGCAGCAAUGCGCCGAUGGAGUGCCUCGCGGCCUAUCAGCUAGUUGGUGAGGUAACGGCUCACCAAGGCGACGACGGGUAGCCGGCCUGAGAGGGUGACCGGCCACACUGGGACUGAGACACGGCCCAGACUCCUACGGGAGCAG
rnacentral:rRNA from 1 species